ACGGAAUAGAUACCCUGGUAGUCCCAGCCGUAAACGAUGCUCGCUAGGUGUCAGGCAUGGCGCGACCGUGUCUGGUGCCGCAGGGAAGCCGUGAAGCGAGCCACCUGGGAAGUACGGCCGCAAGGCUGAAACUUAAAGGAAUUGGCGGGGGAGCACAACAACGGGUGGAGCCUGCGGUUUAAUUGGACUCAACGCCGGACAACUCACCGGGGGCGACAGCAAUAUGUAGGCCAGGCUGAAGACCUUGCCUGAAUCGCUGAGAGGAGGUGCAUGGCCGUCGCCAGUUCGUACUGUGAAGCAUCCUGUUAAGUCAGGCAACGAGCGAGACCCGUGCCCACUGUUACCAGCAUGUCCUCCGGGACGAUGGGUACUCUGUGGGGACCGCCGAUGUUAAAUCGGAGGAAGGUGCGGGCCACGGUAGGUCAGUAUGCCCCGAAUCUCCCGGGCUACACGCGGGCUACAAUGGAUGGGACAAUGGGUCCCUCCCCUGAAAAGGGCUGGUAAUCUCACAAACCCAUUCGUAGUUCGGAUCGAGGGCUGUAAC
rnacentral:rRNA from 1 species